GGCGGAGUAGCUCAGUUGGUUAGAGCAGAGGAAUCAUAAUCCUUGUGUCGGGGGUUCAAUUCCCUCCCUCGCUACCA
rnacentral:tRNA from 1 species